CCUCCCUUGAAAUGGAGCUCUAAUGGGGUGAAGUACUUAUUUACCCUCCAAAAUAAUAAAAGAGUCAAGGCAUCACUUUAUUUAUCAAAUAAUCAUAAAAAUAAAAUGGCAAACUUGAAAUUGAAUCAAUUGAAUCAUGUAAGCAACCCACAUUCAAGAAGUCAAAAGAAGAAAGGACUUGAUUGCACAAAUUAACAAAGUUUGGAGGUCCAAAUUAAAGAAAAAUAAAGUUCAGGGACCUAUUUGCAAUUAAUUUAAGGGCCCAAUUGACAGCAUUGAAAGUUUGUAGGGCCAUAGUGAAAUUAAAGAAAAGUACAGGGACUGAUUUGCAAAUUUAGUUACCAGAUUCUUAGUCAGACAGGCCAUUGGGCCUUUGUAUUUAUUUAUUUGGGCCAAAACCUUCCCUAACCCAAUCGAAACCCAAGCCAAAACAGAUGGGUUAGCCUAAUUGUUCUUACGAGUUGGACCCAAUUAAAUUAAUCACAAACCCAAUCCCAAAAACCCAAUCAAAAGUGUUGGGCUCUAUCUUC
rnacentral:lncRNA from 1 species